GCAGGCGAAGGGGCAGCAAUGUCACUGUCGUACGGGUGCGUAACACGUAUGCAACCUACCUAUCACAGGGGGAUAGCCUCUGGAAACAGGGAUUAAUACCGCAUAAAGCAGGGACACCGCAUGGUGAUAUUGCUAAAGAUUUAUCGGUGAUAGAUGGGCAUGCGUCUGAUUAGUUAGUUGGUGAGGUAAUGGCUCACCAAGACGAUGAUCAGUAGGGGGCGUCAGAGCGUGGUCCCCCACACUGGCACUGAGAUACGGGCCAGACUCCUACGGGAGGCAGCAGUAGGGAAUAUUGGGCAAUGGAUGCAAGUCUGACCCAGCCAUGCCGCGUGCAGGAAGAAGGUCCUCUGGAUUGUAAACUGCUUUUUUGGGGGAAGAAUAGUUUUCUUGCGAGGAAAUGUGACGGUACCCUAAGAAUAAGCCACGGCUAACUACGUGCCAGCAGCCGCGGUAAUACGUAGGUGGCAAGCGUUGUCCGGAUUUAUUGGGUUUAAAGGGUGCGUAGGUGGUUUGAUAAGUCAGUGGUGAAAGCCGGUUGCUCAACAAUCGAGUUGCCAUUGAUACUGUCGGACUUGAGAGAAGUGGAGGUUCAUGGAAUGGAUGGUGUAGCGGUGAAAUGCAUAGAUAUCAUCCAGAACGUCGAUUGCGAAAGGCAGUGGGCUGUACUUUAUCUGACACUGAGGCACGAAAGUGUGGGGAUCAAACAGGAUUAGAUACCCUGGUAGUCCACACUGUAAACGAUGCGAACUAGCUUUUUGGUUUUCGGAUUGGAGGCUAAGGAAACCGAUAAGUUCGCCACCUGGGGGAGUACGCCGGCAACGGUGAAACUCAAAGGAU
rnacentral:rRNA from 1 species